UUGAAAGGGAAACGAUUGAAGUCAGUCGUGCUGGCGCGAAAUCAACCUUCUCGUCUUGGGAUCACAUGGCGUGGCGAGCCUCAAAACCGUCACGAAGCGUGAACUCUUGGUGAAAUGGAGCACUUUCGUGUCCGCUGGUUAACAUCAAUUUCGAACGUCAUAAAAAGGCUGGAGGGAUGUGGCUCCUUCGGGAGUGUUAUAACCUUUAGCGGAAUGUGGUGGUCGGGAUUGAGGAUUGCAACGAAUACCUUUAGGGCUGUUCCACCUGGCCUCUCUUUGGUAUCCUGGUGACGACAGCUUGCUGAGCGUUGUUAGGAUUCGCCAUUGAACAGGCUAGAGUGUGAGCAAAUUCGUUAAGGAUG
rnacentral:rRNA from 1 species